GGUUAAGCGACUAAGCGUACACGGUGGAUGCCCUGGCAGUCAGAGGCGAUGAAGGACGUGCUAAUCUGCGAUAAGCGUCGGUAAGGUGAUAUGAACCGUUAUAACCGGCGAUUUCCGAAUGGGGAAACCCAGUGUGAUUCGUCACACUAUCAUUAACUGAAUCCAUAGGUUAAUGAGGCGAACCGGGGGAACUGAAACAUCUAAGUACCCCGAGGAAAAGAAAUCAACCGAGAUUCCCCCAGUAGCGGCGAGCGAACGGGGAGGAGCCCAGAGCCUGAAUCAGUGUGUGUGUUAGUGGAAGCGUCUGGAAAGGCGCGCGAUACAGGGUGACAGCCCCGUACACAAAAAUGCACAUGCUGUGAGCUCGAUGAGUAGGGCGGGACACGUGGUAUCCUGUCUGAAUAUGGGGGGACCAUCCUCCAAGGCUAAAUACUCCUGACUGACCGAUAGUGAACCAGUACCGUGAGGGAAAGGCGAAAAGAACCCCGGCGAGGGGAGUGAAAAAGAACCUGAAACCGUGUACGUACAAGCAGUGGGAGCACAGAGCAAUCUGUGUGACUGCGUACCUUUUGUAUAAUGGGUCAGCGACUUAUAUUCUGUAGCAAGGUUAACCGAAUAGGGGAGCCGAAGGGAAACCGAGUCUUAACUGGGCGUUAAGUUGCAGGGUAUAGACCCGAAACCCGGUGAUCUAGCCAUGGGCAGGUUGAAGGUUGGGUAACACUAACUGGAGGACCGAACCGACUAAUGUUGAAAAAUUAGCGGAUGACUUGUGGCUGGGGGUGAAAGGCCAAUCAAACCGGGAGAUAGCUGGUUCUCCCCGAAAGCUAUUUAGGUAGCGCCUCGUGAAUUCAUCUCCGGGGGUAGAGCACUGUUUCGGCAAGGGGGUCAUCCCGACUUACCAACCCGAUGCAAACUGCGAAUACCGGAGAAUGUUAUCACGGGAGACACACGGCGGGUGCUAACGUCCGUCGUGAAGAGGGAAACAACCCAGACCGCCAGCUAAGGUCCCAAAGUCAUGGUUAAGUGGGAAACGAUGUGGGAAGGCCCAGACAGCCAGGAUGUUGGCUUAGAAGCAGCCAUCAUUUAAAGAAAGCGUAAUAGCUCACUGGUCGAGUCGGCCUGCGCGGAAGAUGUAACGGGGCUAAACCAUGCACCGAAGCUGCGGCAGCGACGCUUAUGCGUUGUUGGGUAGGGGAGCGUUCUGUAAGCCUG
rnacentral:rRNA from 1 species